rnacentral:rRNA from 1 species
AACGAGAGGAAGGAAAGCUUGCUUUUCUGAAUCUAGUGGCGAACGGGUGAGUAACACGUAGGUAACCUGCCCAUGUGCCCGGGAUAACUUCUGGAAACGGAUGCUAAAAACCGGAUAGGUAACAGACAAGCAUUUGACUGCUAUUAAAGUGGCCUUGGCCAUGAACAUGGAUGGACCUGCGGUGCAUUAGCUGGUUGGUGAGGUAACGGCCCACCAAGGCGACGAUCCAUAGCCGACCUAGGAGGGUGACCGGCCACAUUGGGACUGAGACACGGCCCAAACUCC